AUGACAUUUCUGAAGGGAGAUGAUCCUCAGCAUUUCAUAGUUAUUUUUUGUACUGUUGUAAUCUCAAAUUUCACAUUCAAACUUAACUUGUUAUCAAAUAAUUUUGGAACAAAAUCUUACUUUUACCUGCCCUCCACAGAACCAAAGGUUCACGAGGACUUUUGUUGCUCUAAUGCUUCUUCGAUGACCAUCUCGCCGUUCGCCCUUGCAGAUAGAUAUGGCCGCAUAAAUCGCACCGAUGGAUCCAGUCCUUCGCUAGGUCCAACCUACCCCGCACCAGUCUCAAGCACGCGAGACACUGUUACCUUGUGUUCUAACUGGUUACCACAAUCAAAUCCAUUUUUGCCCAGUUAA
rnacentral:rRNA from 1 species